UGCUAUCUUCAGUUGCUGAUGAAAUGCAUCACAAAUUCCCAACUAAGUUAUUCGAAGGAGUGGAUUGAGCUUGGUUGAAGGCUCAAGUAUCAUUAUUGGGCUACUUUCCAAAGAAUGGAUAGAAAAAUGUGAUAGAGGAUGUCAUCAAUUGUAUGUUGGAGGAGUAUGGGAGCCUUAAAGCUCUCUAAGUGGUCGAUGG
rnacentral:lncRNA from 1 species